AAUGAACGCUGGCGGCGUGCUUUACACAUGCAAGUCGAGCGAGGCGGAUGGGCUUGCCCAUCCAGUCGAGCGGCGAACGGGUGAGUAACGCGUGGAUAUCUACCCUGAGGUGGGGGAUAACCCGGGGAAACUCGGGCUAAUACCGCAUGACACCGAGAGGUCAAAGAGGGCCGCAAGGCUCUCGCCGUGGGAUGAGUCUGCGUCCGAUUAGCUAGUUGGUGAGGUAAUGGCUCACCAAGGCGACGAUCGGUAGCCGGCCUGAGAGGGUGAUCGGCCACACUGGAACUGAGACACGGUCCAGACUCCUACGGGAGGCAGCAGUGGGGAAUUUUGCGCAAUGGGGGAAACCCUGACGCAGCAACGCCGCGUGGAGGAUGAAGGUUUUCGGAUUGUAAACUCCUGUCAGUGGGGAAAAAGCGAGCCAACCUAAUACGUUGGUGAGUUGAUUGUACCCGCAGAGGAAGCCCCGGCUAACUCUGUGCCAGCAGCCGCGGUAAUACAGAGGGGGCAAGCGUUAUUCGGAAUUAUUGGGCGUAAAGGGCGCGUAGGCGGCCGCUCAAGUGGAAGGUGAAAUCCCCCGGCUCAACCGGGGAACUGCCUUCCAAACUGAGCAGCUUGAGUCCGGGAGAGGUGAGUGGAAUUCCCAGUGUAGCGGUGAAAUGCGUAGAUAUUGGGAGGAACACCAGUGGCGAAGGCGGCUCACUGGACCGGAACUGACGCUGAGGCGCGAAAGCGUGGGGAGCAAACGGGAUUAGAUACCCCGGUAGUCCACGCCGUAAACGAUGAGUGCUUGGUGUAGCGGG
rnacentral:rRNA from 1 species